GAUAAGCGCUGGAAACGGCGUCUAAUACCGGAUACGAGCUGUGAAGGCAUCUUCAACAGCUGGAAAGAACUUCGGUCAAGGAUGAGCUCGCGGCCUAUCAGCUAGUUGGUGAGGUAAUGGCUCACCAAGGCGUCGACGGGUAGCCGGCCUGAGAGGGUGACCGGCCACACUGGGACUGAGACACGGCCCAGACUCCUACGGGAGGCAGCAGUGGGGAAUAUUGCACAAUGGGCGCAAGCCUGAUGCAGCAACGCCGCGUGAGGGACGACGGCCUUCGGGUUGUAAACCUCUUUUAGCAGGGAAGAAGCGAAAGUGACGGUACCUGCAGAAAAAGCACCGGCUAACUACGUGCCAGCAGCCGCGGUAAUACGUAGGGUGCAAGCGUUAUCCGGAAUUAUUGGGCGUAAAGAGCUCGUAGGCGGUUUGUCGCGUCUGCUGUGAAAACUGGGGGCUCAACCCCCAGCCUGCAGUGGGUACGGGCAGACUAGAGUGCGGUAGGGGAGAUUGGAAUUCCUGGUGUAGCGGUGGAAUGCGCAGAUAUCAGGAGGAACACCGAUGGCGAAGGCAGAUCUCUGGGCCGUAACUGACGCUGAGGAGCGAAAGGGUGGGGAGCAAACAGGCUUAGAUACCCUGGUAGUCCACCCCGUAAACGUUGGGAACUAGUUGUGGGGACCAUUCCACGGUCUCCGUGACGCAGCU
rnacentral:rRNA from 1 species